GACGAACGCUGGCUGCGUGCUUAACACAUGCAAGUCGAACGGAAAGGCCCUUCGGGGUACUCGAGUGGCGAACGGGUGAGUAACACGUGGGUGAUCUGCCCUGCACUUUGGGAUAAGCCUGGGAAACUGGGUCUAAUACCGAAUAGGACCACGCGCUUCAUGGUGUGUGGUGGAAAGCUUUUGCGGUGUGGGAUGGGCCCGCGGCCUAUCAGCUUGUUGGUGGGGUAAUGGCCUACCAAGGCGACGACGGGUAGCCGGCCUGAGAGGGUGACCGGCCACACUGGGACUGAGAUACGGCCCAGACUCCUACGGGAGGCAGCAGUGGGGAAUAUUGCACAAUGGGCGCAAGCCUGAUGCAGCGACGCCGCGUGAGGGAUGACGGCCUUCGGGUUGUAAACCUCUUUCAAUAGGGACGAAGCGCAAGUGACGGUACCUAUAGAAGAAGCACCGGCCAACUACGUG
rnacentral:rRNA from 1 species